ACAGAAACCAUCUUCAGUAAUCUUCGACGACCUCUUCUCUUCUCUCUUUCUUCUUCCCUGAAGAUUCACAUCUGUUAAUCCAGAUUAGGAUUUCCAUUUCAUCAUCUAUGUUGUUUAUGAGAGUUCAGAGUUAGAACUCUUUCAUCAUCUGAUUUUAGGGUUUCAUCGUCACCUGCGUAAGCCUCUCUCCACCCUAAGCUAAGCUUACAUUAAUCGAAUUGAUCCAGUGAAGCGCUUCAGAUCUGAGUCUGUAAUCCUAAAUUAGGGUUCAAGUGUUGAAGUUGCAGCUGCUCUAAAAGCUACAAAAAGUGGAGAUAGAAUUGAUGUGUGCUGUAUUGAUGAGUCUGAGAAGAUGAGAAGUAGGGAUCUGGUAGGUUAUUGUAUGAUACUGCAACUGUAGAAGAUGAAUUCUGGUGGUGGAUAAGAAUCUGGUUUGAAUUGAGAAAAUGGGUUGCAUCUGCAACUCAGUUUUGGAGAAACCAGUGAUGGAUAAUGGGUAUUGUGGUCUGCUGGUUGAGAAUUGGAGCGAUGGAUUAUGGAGCUUCUGAAGUGCAGUUGCUGGGGUUGCAGUUGAGAAUUGAGAUUGUACUGUGUGAAGUGUGGAAAGAAGCAAUUGCAGGUGAUAAUAAAGAAUGGGAAAUUGAGUUAUGGAAGAGUGAACGGAACUGAAUUACUGUGUGGGCUGAGCUGAACUGAAGUUGAUGGUUGAACCGAGUGAAGUCAAGCCAUGGCAUUGCAGGUGGUAUGAACUGAUCUUGGUGAUGUGGAACAUACACAUUUGGUGAAGAGAUUGGAUUUGUGAUAUUUAACAAGGUGCGUAGUGAUAUUAAGAAACCAGAAGCAGGUAGAUUUGUUUUAGUUACAGUUCUUCUAUACUAUCAUUUAGGUAGUUGAUAAAUUUCAUAUGUUUCUCCUUGGAUUUCUCCUUUUCUUUUGCACUAAUGGAUCUCGAUUUUAAUGUUCCCGGAAUAAAUCCUGUCACGAGACUUGUGCCUGAAAAAUCGAUAUUGCUGCAUGGUAAGGGACACUAAUACACUUGGGUUGACAAAAGUUGUCAUUGGAGAGAUCAGUUCAGGGGUCUUGGCAAAGAUAGAUCUCAUGGAUAAGGGUACCGACGCUGUUGAUGGAGUGGGAGUAUUCUGCAAGUACCCUUGAUAGAUGGUGCUCUCCAUGUUCGUGCAUUAUUCCAAGAUGCUAAGAAAAAGGUUCCCGAUAGUGGGUCAUGGAAUUACAAAAUCAAUGGAGUGAAGCAUAACACUGAUCUGACGUGUGGGAUAAAGCUGGGAUCGAUGGUGACACUGAGAACAUCAUCUCAUAAGUCCUUUAUGAUUACAUCAUACUUUACUAUAUCCUCUUGUGGGCGUGGAUUGACACUACUGACAUGUUUACUUUUCAUUGAGGUUAUGUGGUUCUUGGUAAGUACUGGUAGCCUUUGCUUUGACUCAUCUAAUUCACAUAUCUUGAUUGCAGGUUUGGUGGGAUAGCCUUGGCUUAUGAACUAUCUAUGAACCAAUUGGCAUCUGAUUGUUUCUUUUCAAUAUUGUAAG